rnacentral:rRNA from 1 species
GAUGAACGCUAGCGGCAGGCCUAAUACAUGCAAGUCGGACGGGAUUUAGGAGCUUGCUCCUAAUGAGAGUGGCGCACGGGUGCGUAACACGUAUGUAACCUACCUUGUUCAGGGGGAUAGCCUCUCGAAAGAGAGAUUAAGACCGCAUAACGUUAUUGAAUGGCAUCGUUUAAUAACCAAAUAUUUAUAGGAACAAGAUGGGCAUGCGGAACAUUAGCUAGUUGGUAGGGUAACGGCCUACCAAGGCUACGAUGUUUAGGGGAUGUGAGAGGAUGACCCCCCAAACUGGUACUGGGACACGGACCAGACUCCUACGGGAGGCAGCAGUAAGGAAUAUUGGUCAAUGGGCGGAAACCUGAACCAGCCAUGCCGCGUGCAGGAAGACGGCCCUACGGGUUGUAAACUGCUUUUAUACGGGAAUAAACCUUGAUACGUGUAUCAAGCUGAAUGUACUGUAAGAAUAAGGAUCGGCUAACUCCGUGCCAGCCGCCGCGGUAA